GGUAAGAUUAUUGCAAUUAUAGAAUAAUUAACUUGUGUAGAUUAGGAAAUUAUUAAAUUAUUACUAGAUUGUUGGGCUGCUAUUACCUAUAUAUAAGUGUUGUAUCACAAUUAUAAAGAUAUAAGAAAUAAUAUUUUUUCUUAUUUUCUAUCUAGUUUCUAUUUGGUAUUAGGGCUGGAAUUUUUUUCCUUUAACUCUUAUAGAAACCCUAAAAAUAUUUUCAUUAGUUCUUAGCCAUGUCAGAAACUUCAUCAAACUCUACUUUCUCAUUUGCCCAACCAAAAUCUAUUGGAAAUCUUGUUUCCAACUCUGAAUCGCAUUAUCACCAAUAUCAAAUUAAAUGGUGAUAAUUUUUUGCAUUGGUCUCAAUCCGUCCGAAUGUAUAUUUGGGGGCGAGGAAAGAUUGGCUACUUGACAGGAGAUAAGGAAGCACCGGCAAAGGAGGACCCCUCUUAUGCUCUUUGGUAGGCUGAAAAUUCCAUGGAGGAAGAUAUUAGUUCCAACUAUAUGUGCUAUUCUACAACCAAAGAACUCUGGGAUAAUGUUAAUCAAAUAUAUUCUGAUUUGGGAAAUUCGUCAAGGAGAGGACAAUGUCACCAAGUAUUUCAAUUCAUUGAAAUGGUUAUGGUAAGAUUUGGAUUUGUUUAAUGAUUAUGAAUGGAGGUCUCCAUAAAAUUGCUUAAACUAUAAAAAGAUGGCAAAAGAUAAUCGCAUUUACAAAUUUCUUGCUGGAUUAAAUGUUGAAUUUGAUGAAGUAAGGGGGAGAAAUAUAGGUCGACAGCCUCUACCUCCCAUUGGUGAAGUAUUUGCAUAAGUUAGAAGAGAAGAAAGUUGCAGAAAUGGGAUGCUUGGAAAAAGGGAGACUGUUGUACCACUUGAGAGUUCAGCCCUAAUGACUUCUGAUGCCAAUAAAGCCUAGCUGAGGCAGCAAGGACAAAACUCUCAAGUGUGGUGUGAUUUCUGCAAAAAACCACACCAUACUCAAGAAACUUGCUUGAAAAUUCAUGGCAAUCCAACAACUUGGAAGGGUAAAAGAUCAAGCGAUAAGCCUAAUAGUGCUUUUUCCUCUACAAGUGAAGCUGAGACAGGUCCGUUCAAUAGGGAGCACCUAGAUCAACUUCUAAAACUGCUAAAAUCCAAUUCCUCAUCUAGUAUUCCUAGUGCUGCUUUUGCUCAAACAGUUCGGGACCGAAACUCGGGGAGGAUGAUUGGCAGUGUUAGGAUGAUCGACGACCUAUAUUAUUUUGAUGAUUAUUGUUUUGCGAAUAAAACAAUUCAAGGCUUGAGUGGUAUUAGUUCAAGUUCUAUUCGUGACCAAAUUAUGCUUUGGCAUCAUAGAUUAGGAAAUCCUAUUUUUUCUUAUCUAAAAUACUUGUUUCCAGAUAUGUUUAAAAUUUUGAAUGGUUCUUCUUUUUAAUGUGAGAGUUGUGUUUUAUCUAAAA